rnacentral:lncRNA from 1 species
CCCAGAAUGGAGCCAAGACAAGGGAAUAAACGAAAUUCAAUAGUACACGGAGAUCGGGUGUCUGGGCAGCGUCUUGGAAAAACUAUCCACUACAGUACAGGUCAAGUGAAGUUCUUCUGCUGAUAUGUUCUGCUACUGCAUAAGCAAUCAACAACACAGAAGACAACUUCUGCAACCCUAUCGGGAGAGGAGGGGUUCUCUCCACCACCAGUCCCCUGGAAGAAUUCUCAAAACACAGAAUGCUUGCCAAGUCAAUCCUAAGCCAAAAGAACAAAGCUGGAGGCAUCACACUACCUGACUUCAAACUAUACUACAAGGAUGCAGUAACCAAAACAGCAUGGUACUGGUACCAAAACAGAGAUAUAGACCAAUGGAACAGAACAGAGCCCUCAGAAAUAAUGCCGCUUAUCUACAACCAUCUGAUCUUUGACAAACCUGACAAAAACAAGAAAUGGGGAAAGGAUUCCCUAUUUAAUAAAUGGUGCUGGGAAAACUGGCUAGCCAUAUGCAGAAAGCUGAAACUGGAUCCCUUCCUUACACCUUAUGCUAAAAUUAAUUCAAGAUGGAUUAAAGACUUAAAUGUUAGACCUAAAACCAUAAAAACCGUAGAAUAAAACCUAGGCAAUACCAUUCAGGACAUAGGCAUGGGCAAGGACUUCAUGUUUAAAACACCAAAAGCCAUGGCAACAGAAGCCAAAAUUGACAAAUAGGAUCUAAUUAAACUAAAGAGCUUCUGCACAGCAAAAGAAACUACCAUCAGAGUGAACAGGCAACCUACAGAAUGGGAGAAAAUUUUUGCAAUCUACUCAUCUGACAAAGGGCUAGUAUCCAGAAUCUACAAUGAACUCAAACAAAUUUACAAGAAAAAAACAACCCCAUCAAAAAGUGGGCAAACGAUAUGAACAGACACUUCUCAAAAGACGACAUUUAUGCUGCCAAAAGACACAUGAAAAAAUGCUCAUCAUCACUGGCCAUCAGAGAAAUGCAAAUCAAAACCACAAUGAGAUACCAUCUCACACCAGUUAGAAUGGCGAUCAUUAAAAAGUCAGGAAACAACAGGUGCUGGAGAGGAUGUGGAGAAACAGGAACACUUUUACACUGUUAGUGGGACUGUAAACUAGUUCAACCAUUGUGGAAGUCAGUGUGGCGAUUCCUCAGGGAUCUAGAACUAGAAAUACCAUUUGACCCAGCCAUCCCAUUACUGGGUAUAUACCCAAAGGAUUAUAAAUCAUGCUGCUAUAAAGACACAUGCACACGUAUGUUUAUUGUGGCACUAUUCACAAUAGCAAAGACUUGGAACCAACCCAAAUGUCCAAUAAUGAUAGACUGGAUUAAGAAAAUGUGGCACAUAUACACCAUGGAAUACUAUUCAGCCAUAAAAAAGGAUGAGUUCAUGUCCUUUGUAGGGACAUGGAUGAAGCCGGAAACCAUCAUUCUCAGCAAACUAUCGCAAGGACAAAAAACCAAACACCGCGUGUUCUCACUCAUAGGUAGGAACUGAACAAUGAGAACACAUGGACACAGGAAGGGGAACAUCACACGCCGGGGCCUGUUGUGGGGUGGGGGGAGCGGGGAGGGAUAGCAUUAGGAGAUAUACCUAAUGUUAAAUGACGAGUUACUGGGUGCAGCACACCAACAUGGCACAUGUAUACAUAUGUAACUAACCUGCACGUUGUGCACAUGUACCCUAAAACUUAAAGUAUAAUAAAGAAAAAAAAAA